rnacentral:rRNA from 1 species
CCUACGGGUGGCAGCAGUGAGGAAUAUUGGUCAAUGGGCGAGAGCCUGAACCAGCCAAGCCGCGUGAGGGAGUACUGCCCUACGGGUUGUAAACCUCUUUUGUCGGGGAGCAAAAGCCGGACCUGUCCGGCUGUGAGAGUACCCGAAGAAAAAGCAUCGGCUAACCUCGUGCCAGCAGCCGCCGUUAUACGGAGGAUGCGAGCGUUUUCCGGAUUUUUUGGGUUUAAAGGGGUCGCAGGCGGGUUUUUAAGUCAGCGGUAAAAUCGUGGGGCUCAACCCCAUCCAGCCGUUGAAACUGGGGGUCUAGAGUGUGCGAGAGGUAUGCGGAAUGCGUGGUGUAGCGGUGAAAUGCUUAGAUAUCACGCAGAACCCCGAUUGCGAAGGCAGCAUACCGGUGCACAACUGACGCUCAGGCACGAAAGCGUGGGUAUCGAACAGGAUUAGAUACCCCAGUAGUC